UGGACGCGGGGGGGUGUCCGAGCAGCAUCUCCGGCUUAAAGGGAAACUCUCUAAGUUCCGGGCAGCCGGGAGAGUCGUUCCUGAGAGCACAAGCACCCCCAAAUGUGAAGUGCACUCGGACACACACACACACACACACGCACGCACACACAAGCACUCAUGUUCUAAAGAGAGAGGUCUGAGUCCGAAGUUGCUGCUGCUGGGAGCUUGAGCUGAGAUGGACUGGUCUUCAUGGGCGCCCAAGGCGCUGGGUGCAGCUUUCCCCGAGACCCCCAGAUGGAAAGGAGGGAAGGAGGAACCCCACACACUCGCCUUUUGCGAGAAGAUCGGCGCGCACCCCAGAGUGCCCCAAGCCUUUGGAAUCUGCCUGCUGAGCGGAGCGCGCGAGCGUGGUGGACAGGUCCCGAACUUGGCCAGCGGGCUUUCUUGGCAACUUGCUUUGCGCAGUUCUCCAUGGAACCCUGGACCCACUGUGCUCCCGGCGCCUUGCCUUUUUUUUUCUUUUUCUUUCUCUCACUGUCUCUUUUUAAAUUUAUGAACUCGAAAUGAAGCGGAAAGCAGAUAUGCGCGUCAGCAUACUUUGGCGGGAUGCUGGCCCACCACUAGUAUUCUCUGGUGCUCGUUGUGCUUUGGGAGAUCUUCUAUGCAACAUGGAAACCAUGAAUUGUACCACAGAGGGAGAUCUUCUGUCCCACUAGGAAACUGCGAAUUGUACCACAGAGGGAGAUCUUCUAUGCAACAUGGAGACCAUGAAUGGUACACACAGAGAGAGAUCUUCUAUCCACAUGGACACCAUGAAUUGUACCACAGAGGCAGAUGUUCUAUCCAACAUGGAAACCAUGAACUGUACACACAGAGGGGGAUAUUCCAUCCAACAUAGGAACCAUGAACUGUACACACAGAGGGAGAUCUUCUAUCCAACAUGGAGACCAUGAAUUUUACCACAAAGGAAGAUGUUCUAUCCAAAAUGGAAACCAUGAGUUGUAUGCCUAGAGGGAGAUCUUCUAUCCAAUAUGUAAGCCACGAGUUGGACACACAGAGAGAGAUAUUUUAUCCAACUUGGAAACCAUGAAUUGUACACACAGAGAGAUCUUCUAUCCAACACGGAAACAACGAGUUAUACCCACAGGGGGAGAUCUUCUAUCCAAUUCAGGUGUUCCUUAUGUGAUAGCAUACUCUGCAUCUACAACUAGCUAAAGUUUCGUGAUGUCAUUAUUGUUAUUGUUGUUGUAGAGGUGAGGUCUUGCUAUGUUGCCCAGGCUGGUCUUGAAUCCCUGGCCUCCAGCAAUCCUCCUGCCUUUGUUUCCCAAUGUGUUGGGAUUACAGGCAAAAGCUGGUCUUAUUCUUUCUAAAGCUGAAGUUUGAGAAGUAAAAAUCACUUUCAAGGGUAGAAUGCAUUUUAUAUUUUCUCUGAAAAAUGAAUUGGCACAAAUGUCCAGUUAAAUUUGUGCAAUUUUCUUUAAAAAAAAAAAC
rnacentral:lncRNA from 1 species